UACGAAGGGGGCUAGCGUUGCUCGGAAUCACUGGGCGUAAAGCGCACGUAGGCGGAUUGUUAAGUCAGGGGUGAAAUCCUGGAGCUCAACUCCAGAACUGCCUUUGAUACUGGCGAUCUUCGAGUUCGGGAGAGGUGAGUGGAACUGCGAGUGUAGAGGUGAAAUUCGUAGAUAUUCGCAAGAACACCAGUGGCGAAGGCGGCUCACUGGCCCGGUACUGACGCUGAGGUGCGAAAGCGUGGGGAGCAAACAGG
rnacentral:rRNA from 1 species